GGACAUGGGGGCACCCUAUCCAUUAUGCCGCGUGAGUGAAGAAGGCCUUCGGGUUGUAAAGCUCUUUUGUCAGGGAAGAAACAGCAGCUCUAACACAGUCUGCGAAUGACGGUACCUGAAGAAUAAGCACCGGCUAACUACGUGCCAGCAGCCGCGGUAAUACGUAGGGUGCAAGCGUUAAUCGGAAUUACUGGGCGUAAAGCGUGCGCAGGCGGUUAUACAAGACAGGCGUGAAAUCCCCGGGCUUAACCUGGGAAUGGCGUCUGUGACUGUAUAGCUAGAGUGUGUCAGAGGGGGGUGGAAUUCCACGUGUAGCAGUGAAAUGCGUAGAUAUGUGGAGGAACACCAAUGGCGAAGGCAGCCCCCUGGGAUAACACUGACGCUCAUGCACGAAAGCGUGGGGAGCAAACAGGAUUAGAUACCCUGGUAGUCCACGCCCUAAACGAUGCUGACUAGUUGUUGGGAAUCUACAUUCUCAGUAACGUAGCUAACGCGUGAAGUCAGCCGCCUGGGGAGUACGGUCGCAAGAUUAAAACUCAAAGGAAUUGACGGGGACCCGCACAAGCGGUGGAUGAUGUGGAUUAAUUCGAUGCAACGCGAAAAANCUUAACUACCCUUGACAUGUCACUAACGAAGUA
rnacentral:rRNA from 1 species